rnacentral:rRNA from 1 species
UACAGAGGUCUCAAGCGUUGUUCGGAUUCAUUGGGCGUAAAGGGUGCGUAGGCGGCGCGGUAAGUCGGGUGUGAAAUCUUGGAGCUUAACUCCGAAACUGCAUUCGAUACUGCCGUGCUUGAGGACUGGAGAGGAGACUGGAAUUUACGGUGUAGCGGUGAAAUGCGUAGAUAUCGUAAGGAAGACCAGUGGCGAAGGCGGGUCUCUGGACAGUUCCUGACGCUGAGGCACGAAGGCCAGGGGAGCAAACGUG